UACGGGGGGUGCAAACGUUGCUCGGAAUUAUUGGGCGUAAAGCGCGCGUAGGCGGCUACUUAAGUCGGAUGUGAAAGCCCUGGGCUCAACUGAGGAAGUGCACCCGAAACUGAGUGGCUAGAGUACGAAAGAGGGUCGCGGAAUUCCCGGUGUAGAGGUGAAAUUCGUAGAUAUCGGGAGGAACACCGGUGGCGAAGGCGGCGACCUGGGUCGAUACUGACGCUGAGGCGCGAAAGCUAGGGUAGCAAACAGG
rnacentral:rRNA from 1 species